UACGAAGGGGGCUAGCGUUGUCCGGAAUUAUUGGGCGUAAAGAGCUCGUAGGCGGUUUGUCGCGUCUGCUGUGAAAACGCGAGGCUCAACCUCGCGCCUGCAGUGGGUACGGGCAGACUAGAGUGCGGUAGGGGAGAUUGGAAUUCCUGGUGUAGCGGUGGAAUGCGCAGAUAUCAGGAGGAACACCGAUGGCGAAGGCAGAUCUCUGGGCCGUAACUGACGCUGAGGAGCGAAAGCGUGGGGAGCGAACAGG
rnacentral:rRNA from 1 species